rnacentral:rRNA from 1 species
UCGAACGGACCCUUUCGGGGUUAGUGGCGAACGGGUGAGUAACACCUGGGUGAUCUGCCCUGCACUUUGGGAUAAGCCUGGGAAACUGGGUCUAAUACCGGAUAGGACUACGCACUGCAUGGUGUGUGGUGGAAAGCUUUUGCGGUGUGGGAUGGGCCCGCGGCCUAUCAGCUUGUUGGUGGGGUGAUGGCCUACCAAGGCGACGACGGGUAGCCGGCCUGAGAGGGUGACCGGCCACACUGGGACUGAGAUACGGCCCAGACUCCUACGGGAGGCAGCAGUGGGGAAUAUUGCACAAUGGGCGCAAGCCUGAUGCAGCGACGCCGCGUGAGGGAUGACGGCCUUCGGGUUGUAAACCUCUUUCGCCAGGGACGAAGCGCAAGUGACGGUACCUGGAGAAGAAGGACCGGCCAACUACGUGCCAGCAGCCGCGGUAAUACGUAGGGUCCGAGCGUUGUCCGGAAUUACUGGGCGUAAAGAGCUCGUAGGUGGUUUGUCGCGUUGUUCGUGAAAACUCACAGCUUAACUGUGGGCGUGCGGGCGAUACGGGCAGACUGGAGUACUGCAGGGGAGACUGGAAUUCCUGGUGUAGCGGUGGAAUGCGCAGAUAUCAGGAGGAACACGGGUGGCGAAGGCGGGUCUCUGGGC